rnacentral:rRNA from 1 species
AUUGAACGCUGGCGGCAUGCCUUACACAUGCAAGUCGAACGGUAACGGGCCUUCGGGUGCCGACGAGUGGCGAACGGGUGAGUAAUACAUCGGAACGUGCCCGAUCGUGGGGGAUAACGAGGCGAAAGCUUUGCUAAUACCGCAUACGAUCUACGGAUGAAAGCAGGGGACCGCAAGGCCUUGCGCGGACGGAGCGGCCGAUGGCAGAUUAGGUAGUUGGUGGGAUAAAAGCUUACCAAGCCGACGAUCUGUAGCUGGUCUGAGAGGAUGAUCAGCCACACUGGGACUGAGACACGGCCCAGACUCCUACGGGAGGCAGCAGUGGGGAAUUUUGGACAAUGGGCGCAAGCCUGAUCCAGCCAUGCCGCGUGCAGGAUGAAGGCCUCCGGGUUGUAAACUGCUUUUGUACGGAACGAAAAGCCUUCUUUUAAUACAGGAGGGUCAUGACGGUACCGUAAGAAUAAGCACCGGCUAACUACGUG